GAAUGGCAUCACGAGGGUUAUACUGUCUCCUCUUUCUAAUCAGUGAAACUAAUCUUCCCGUGAAGAAGCGGGGAUUAAACUAUAAGACGAGAAGACCCUAUGGAGCUUUAAACAAAUGUAACAAUCGCUAUUCUAUUUUCCAAUUUCUGAAAACUAACUUAUUUUAGCCUUAUGAUUACUAGUUUUAGGUUGGGGUGACCGCGGAGAAUAAUUUAACCUCCACAUUGAAUGAAUACUUUUCUAAGCUGAAAGCCACGACUUUAUGCAUCAAUAAAUUGACAUCCAUUGAUCCAAUACUUUUUGAUCAACGAACCAAGUUACCCUAGGGAUAACAGCGCAAUCCACUUCAAGAGCUCCUAUCGACAAGUGG
rnacentral:rRNA from 1 species